GAUGAACGCUGGCGGCGUGCCUAAUACAUGCAAGUCGAGCGAACAGACGAGGAGCUUGCUCCUUUGACGUUAGCGGCGGACGGGUGAGUAACACGUGGGUAACCUACCUAUAAGACUGGGAUAACUUCGGGAAACCGGAGCUAAUACCGGAUAAUAUUUCGAACCGCAUGGUUCGAUAGUGAAAGAUGGCUUUGCUAUCACUUAUAGAUGGACCUGCGCCGUAUUAGCUAGUUGGUAAGGUAACGGCUUACCAAGGCAACGAUACGUAGCCGACCUGAGAGGGUGAUAGGCCACAUUGGAACUGAGACACGGUCCAGACUCCUACGGGAGGCAGCAGUAGGGAAUCUUCCGCAAUGGGCGAAAGCCUGACGGAGCAACGCCGCGUGAGUGAUGAAGGUCUUCGGAUCGUAAAACUCUGUUAUUAGGGAAGAACAAACGUGUAAGUAACUGUGCACGUCUUGACGGUACCUAAUCAGAAAGCCACGGCUAACUACGUG
rnacentral:rRNA from 1 species